rnacentral:misc_RNA from 1 species
AAAAAAUCUAACUAUCUCACAUUAUUAUACUGAACUCAUCGAGUAUUAUCAGCCAAAAUUGCUUUGAACUCCAUCUGUUCUAUAUGGUGGCGGAGCUACCUACCACCGUCUUCCUGCUCAAUAGAGUGGUCGGAGCAAGAAUGAAGAUAUGAGGUGGCGAUGAGGAUUGUUUGUACGAAAAGGCUCUGAUUGGUAAAUCAAAUGUUCCUUUCGAGAUUUGUGUCCUCCAGCAUUAUCGUCAGAUUGUGUCGAAGUUCAACUUUAAUCUGAUACUAUAUGCUCCGUCACUCAAAUGAGAAUAAUUAUGUACUUACAGUUUUCGGCAUACAGAAUGAAGCAAGUGAAAUGAACCAGCAGCUUGGAGACUUCUGGCCUUGAUGUUCUCAGGGAUUUAGUUCUCUACCUUAUCAAGG